GGAGAGGUGCCCGGAGUGGUUGAUGGUCGGAUCCUUCGGGGUCUGCGCAGGUUCGAAUCCUGCCCUCUCCG
rnacentral:tRNA from 1 species